GACGAAGGGGGCUAGCGUUGUUCGGAAUUACUGGGCGUAAAGCGCGUGUAGGCGGUUGUCCAAGUUGGAUGUGAAAGCCUUGAGCUCAACUCAAGAAAUGCAUUCAGGACUGGAUGACUAAAGGACCGGAGAGGAUAGUGGAAUUCCCAGUGUAGUGGUGAAAUACGUAGAGAUUGGGAAGAACACCAGUGGCGAAGGCGGCUAUCUGGACGGUUUCUGACGCUAAGACGCGAAAGCGUGGGGAGCAAACAGG
rnacentral:rRNA from 1 species